rnacentral:rRNA from 1 species
UAGGGAAUCUUCGGCAAUUGACGAAAGUCUGACCGAGCAACGCCGCGUGAGUGAAGAAGGUUUUCGGAUCUUAAAACUCUGUUGUUAGAGAAGAACAAGGACGUUAGUAACUGAACGUCCCCUGACGGUAUCUAACCAGAAAGCCACGGCUAACUACGUGCCAGCAGCCGCGGUAAUACGUAGGUGGCAAGCGUUGUCCGGAUUUAUUGGGCGUAAAGCGAGCGCAGGCGGUUUCUUAAGUCUGAUGUGAAAGCCCCCGGCUCAACCGGGGAGGGUCAUUGGAAACUGGGAGACAUGAGUGCAGAAGAGGAGAGUGGAAUUCCAUGUGUAGCGGUGAAAUGCGUAGAUAUAUGGAGGAACACCAGUGGCGAAGGCGGCUCUCUGGUCUGUAACUGACGCUGAGGCUCGAAAGCGUGGGGAGCAAACAGG